rnacentral:rRNA from 1 species
UGAUCCAGCGACGCCGCGUGAGUGAAGAAGUAUUUCGGUAUGUAAAGCUCUGUCAGCAGGGAAGAAAGAGAUGACGGUACCUGACCAAGAAGCCCCGGCUAACUACGUGCC